rnacentral:lncRNA from 1 species
AUGCGGGGAUUUGGGACGGCUGAAGGACUCGGGGCCCCAACCGCCGCAGCGCUGCUGCCCGCAUCCGGCAGCACGACCCUAAUCCCCCCGAGCCCUCCAGCGCUGCUCCCGGUGCCCCACGGGGCUGAGGUACAGAAAUUGUUUAAUAAUGACUUUGGAGAAGGUUUCCCUAUCCAGUCUCCUGAUCAGGAAGAAAGAAGAAGGUUUUUGGAGGACUUAAUCACGAGAGGAGCUGCUGUUGAUCCUCCACUUCCAAGAAGCAAGCAGGUGAGGACAUUGUGCAUCUCAGCCUUUGCUCACUGCAAGGUGCCAGCCACUCCAUCUGUGCUUUGCGGUGAUUUUCCACCAGCACUUGUGCUUGUAUGUGAGCACCAGGCAUCCGCUAACGCUGUCUGAUAGCUUUAGGCUGGGCAGACACGGGAAGCACUGCCUGCAGCAGCAGCAGCUGAGCUCCGUGUGCCAGAGGAAGGAAUGCGGCGUCUGGAGGAGCAGGAGGAGGAGACCCCGCGUGACUCUGCGUGUUCUGCAGGGCCGUUCCUCACAGACUGCCACUGACAGACGUUUGGGGCACUGCAGAGCCUGUUGGUGCGGAUGAGGUAAAGCAGUGUUGAUCUGUAAUGCCAUUUGAUCUGCGUGCAUGCAGGAUUUCCCUGUGUUUGUAUGUCUCAGUGUCUGUGGCCCUGGUUUUGUUCAGAGAUGUCAGACCUCUGUGUUCCCCCUCCAGCUGGUUCUGAAGAGCCCUUCCAUUUUUGAGAAGGCUGCGGGUUUAGUUCAGCAUCUCCUGAUGUGUCACACAGAUUCAGGGCUUUCAAGAAGUCGCUUCUUUGAAGUGUUUAAGAUGGUGAAUUCUGCCAGACAGAGUGCUUGUCUAAUCAAACGUUUUAACCCCAAGGUUUGUUCUGCAGGUCCUGAUGAUGGCAUAGGCAUUAAACAGCAUGGAGCUCGUCGCUGGGGAGAGGCUGUGCAUUGUGUUUUGAAGGGAGAGAUAGAGGAAGGGUUUGAACAGCGUUGUGCAGGAAUGGAAAGCUGGUAAGAGAAGAGGUGUGCGUUCAGAGAGCGAGGGCUGUAUGGCUCAUCUCUGUGUUCCAGCAGGAAAUGCAAGGCAGAACUCUCUGCUCUCUGUUCUUUCUUGCAAGGUUGCUGCCCCUCAAAGUGCACUGUGGAUGGGCAGCACGAUGACAGCCCAAGGAUGGCAGCAGAAGAUGCAGCACAGCCCUCUCCAGCAGCAAGGUGCACUGAUUUGUCUAGCUAAUUCUUGAAGUAGAAGGUGCGUUUAGCUUCCAAAGUCAGUGGCUUGAUAGCCUUAGGAUGGCUUUGGGGUCUUCCUCUGUAACUCACAUCCUAAGGCAGUGAAGGUGUUCCCUUGGUCUGUACAAGUGGUUCCUGUACAAAGCCA